UGUUACAUACUUUUCAACGAAUCUAGUAUACCCUUUUACUCUACGAGUAACGGGUAUAAUGAUAGGAACUAUUUGAAAGCACCGAAGAGCACUGUAAAAUCCCACAAACCAUUUUUGAAACUAAUUAAAUUGAAAUAUUAUUGCGGAUUUACCUGGCACUAGUCGGUCAAACAUCCUUUCAAUUAAGAGCAAAAAAGAAUAUAACGAAAGACGAAAAGAAAACUUACCUUAACAUUCUUAUAGUAAAAAAUUUGAUCAAAUAUGUUAAGGAAUGGAGAAAAUAAUGAGAAAUACCUUUUUGCUUGACAGGCAAUACUAUUAUUUUGACCGCAACUGUAACAACACAGAAUUUUGAAAACGCACUACAAAAUUUUAUGUUCAGCAAUGAUUAGCGUUAUCAAACUCACUAGUGACACGUCGUGAAAUGACAAAAAACCGGGAGCUGUUCUUAUAAAUAUUAAAACAAUACUUGGUGAAGUUUGCAAAUAUUAUUAGGAACAUAUAGAAAAUAGAGCACACACAGCUCAACGGUACCUGAAACUCCUUUAACCUUCACAUGCCAAAAAAGCCGAAGUAUAGGUGAGCAGAGUCAUCGAAUCGAAACCCUGCGCUUGGGGUACGAUUUGGUACUAACGAACGAUAUGCCCUUGCUGAUAGCAAGCAUGCUCAUCGUUCCUGUUACUCGUAUAGUCAAAGCGUAUACUAGAAUCGUUGACAAGGUAAGAUAAAUGUGACGAUGACACCUUUAACAACAAAAAAUUUUUGAUUGACGAUUGAUUCUGACGAUUAACAGUAAGACAUACAAAUUUUAACUGGUAUCUACACGCUGUAGACUUUUGAAAAUUUGUCUUAAAAGUUGAUAUCAAGAUAUAAAAUGGAUAUCAAGAGUUAGAGAAUCUGAAGAGCUAAGAAGUUUGACGGCCUAUACAGUUUUUUAAUUUUAAUCGAAAUCGUUAGACUAGUUUUUGAAAAGUCCUCAAAAAAAAUUAAGUUUUAUAUUUGUUGUAUUUAGACAACUUAAAAAAAUGAAAAUAAUUUGAAAUGUAUUUUCAGGCGUUCAGAAAUUAUGGGCUUAGAAAAUGUAGCUAUUUAUCGUUAUUUUUCCGCCAGCUGGCGAUUUUUCCAAAAGUGGUAAUACUAAAGUUUCUAUAUUGAGGACGUCGAGCACAGUUUAAAUUAUUUGUGGAUUUUAAAAUAACAUUUUGUUGCAUACAAACAAACCGCCAGAAACGUAAAUUUUAAAUGUUAUUGUAGAUAUAUGUAUGAAGCAUUCGAUUUUAACAAGUUAGGUGUCAAACCUUGCGUAUUUCAAACAAUUUGGGUUAAUGUUUUUUGGGUACACUACACGCACCAAUAUAAUUUUCUCGUGAACCAUAUAACAAAGUAUAAAGUAUGCUUUCCGUUGAGCCACCUAUCAAUUGACCAUUUUAAUUUUUAUAUUUAAGAUAGGUUAGUUUUGUAAACUACUUUAUCUAUUAUAAUAAAUAAAUAAAUAAAUUUCUCCAUGUUUAUGGUAUAUAGAAAUUGUCCUGGUGCGCUUCAUCACUACGUGGACUCCUGUCAACAGUGGCAUAUGUGCAGUACAAACUGUAAGACCGCAGUCUUUGAAUAGAAAUGCAAUGCAAAUUUCGGCACUGUCAGUGGUAAAUACAUUUGCAGAUACAUAUGUAUGUAUGUAUGUAGCAUUCCGCCUAGCAAUACCCGGCAGUUCCACAAUUCAUCGCUACGAAGAAAACAUCACGAAAUCAUUGACUACGCCAGCCGAUCAGCUUUCCCGACUCUCUCACUUUUGAUCUCUCUCUUAAAAUAACACAAGAAAUAUCCCUAAAUUUUCGAUGAAAGGGUAAUUUAAGUUUGUUCUAAAAAAAAAGCAGUAUAAAUUGAUGAAUAGAGCGAUGAUUUGCCCGUUAAAGUGCACUGUUGUGAUAUUUUUCAUAUCGAUGAUUUCCUAGGACAAACCAAUGUUAAAAUCUUUGCAUUCAUACAUUAAGCGGUGAUUAAGCGCUCGAAAUUUUUAUAGGUUGAUGAUUCAUCACUUAAAGGUUAAUGAAUGGAACUGCACGUCCCCAAUUAGUCCUGAAUUUCGGAUAGCCGAAGUAUGCUUUCACUUUUUUAUUGUUGAUAUAACAUGGAUAGAAUAAACUACGAAUGGAUUUUGGUAACAGUCUUAUUUUAGCUUCUUUUGAGGAACUGAUUAAAUUCAUGCGCAGCAGAUGGAAAUGUUACAAUUAUUUUAAAACACGUAGUUACUUUAAUAUGUUUUUCAAAAUGGAAAGCGGAGAGGCCUAUGAGUUUUUUAGUUGCAAAUGUGAUCAAUAUGUUUACUUGUAUGCAUACAUCUGUAUACAUUACAUGGAUUGUGAUGUUGAUAGGUCGAAAAUAUAUGUAUAUACAUACAUAUGAAUUCAUAUUUUGGUGUAAUAGAAAACGUACAUAUGUAUGUAUAAGAGCAAUAGAUUAUUGAACAGAAAGAGUUCUGACCGGUUGUGCAAUAUGAAAAGCGUGACAAUGAGAUCUUCACGAUCUUAUGCUUUCUUUUUAUAAUUUUUUGCAAGGCAUUGGCUUCUUUUAAAUAAUCUUUUCAUUACUUUACUCGACUGUUUCGUUUUGUGCCCUCGAUAUUCAAGUAAACUCUCUGAUACGUUUUUUGGCAAAACUAUUGUAAACGAAACGCCAUUACGCUGCAGACAUAGGCAUUGGUGGAAGUAUUAUAUAUACAUUUUUGUGUAUCCUAUAUACAUUUGUAUUCCACAGACUAAAUACAUAUGUACUUGUGGUGGCCACGAACACAUUGAAUAAGACCGCACGAUUGCAAAUGGUUAACUUGCAAAGACAACGCUCAGAUAGAGACUGAAUCGAGCGGAGCUGAGCUGUAAACGUGUCUUAGACCAAACGUGGCCGAGAGAACCGAGAUACAGUCGCAGACACAGAAGAGAUAUCCGUUUAAAGCCAUGAGCACGAAGAACAAAAAACUGGUUAGAAUUCUUGCAGACAUGUUUUAAGACAUCGGAAAUCCAAGAAGAAUCUCGGCUAGAUAGGGCGCAAAAAAAUGACAUGGACCUUUACAAAGCCUCCUAAAUGACAUUACUGACAUGCAUGUAUGCUCAUGUAUGUAUGUUUGUAAGCAUUUUUGUAAAUUUAACCAAAUUAAUGGUUAUUAAAUGAAAUAUGCAUUUUAUAGCGGUGUACAUAUGUAACCUAUAAUUAUAUGUAUAUAUACAAAUUAUUUUAAAUUUAACUAAAUUGUCUCUUUUUUAUCAGGAAUGUUUCUAUUGACUAAAUAUACUGCGCUGCAAUGUGCAAAAAUACUCCUAAAAUGGAGAGUCAAUUAAAAAUCAUAUAAA